rnacentral:rRNA from 1 species
ACGUAGGGUGCAAGCGUUAAUCGGAAUUACUGGGCGUAAAGCGUGCGCAGGCGGUUAUGUAAGUCAGAUGUGAAAUCCCCGGGCUUAACCUGGGAAUGGCAUUUGAGACUGCAUGGCUAGAGUGUGUCAGAGGGGGGUAGAAUUCCACGUGUAGCAGUGAAAUGCGUAGAGAUGUGGAGGAAUACCGAUGGCGAAGGCAGCCCCCUGGGAUAACACUGACGCUCAUGCACGAAAGCGUGGGGAGCAAACAGGAUUAGAUACCCUGGUAGUCCACGCCCUAAACGAUGUCUACUAGUUGUCGGGUCUUAAUUGACUUGGUAACGCAGCUAACGCGUGAAGUAGACCGCCUGGGGAGUACGGUCGCAAGAUUAAAACUCAAAGGAAUUGACGG